GUGGACGCCAGUCUGCGUGGAGCCGACCUUGAAAUACCACCCUUUAAUGUUUGAUGUUCUAACGUGGACCCGUAAUCCGGGUUGCGGACAGUGUCUGGUGGGUAGUUUGACUGGGGCGGUCUCCUCCUAAAGAGUAACGGAGGAGCACGAAGGUUGGCUAAUCCUGGUCGGACAUCAGGAGGUUAGUGCAAUGGCAUAAGCCAGCUUGACUGCGAGCGUGACGGCGCGAGCAGGUGCGAAAGCAGGUCAUAGUGAUCCGGUGGUUCUGAAUGGAAGGGCCAUCGCUCAACGGAUAAAAGGUACUCCGGGGAUAACAGGCUGAUACCGCCCAAGAGUUCAUAUCGACGGCGGUGUUUGGCACCUCGAUGUCGGCUCAUCACAUCCUGGGGCUGAAGUAGGUCCCAAGGGUAUGGCUGUUCGCCAUUUAAAGUGGUACGCGAGCUGGGUUUAGAACGUCGUGAGACAGUUCGGUCCCUAUCUGCCGUGGGCGCUGGAGAACUGAGGGGGGCUGCUCCUAGUACGAGAGGACCGGAGUGGACGCAUCACUGGUGUUCGGGUUGUCAUGCCAAUGGCACUGCCCGGUAGCUAAAUGCGGAAGAGAUAAGUGCUGAAAGCAUCUAAGCACGAAACUUGCCCCGAGAUGAGUUCUCCCUGAGACUUAGAGUCUCCUGAAGGAACGUUGAAGACGACGACGUUGAUAGGCCGGGUGUGUAAGCGCAGCGAUGCGUUGAGCUAACCGGUACUA
rnacentral:rRNA from 1 species